AUACGUAGGGGACGAGCGUUGUCCGGAAUUACUGGGCGUAAAGGGCGCGCAGGCGGAUAUUUAAGUCAGCUGUAAAAGGCAUGAGCUCAACUCAUGUAUGCGGUUGAAACUGGGUAUCUAGAGUGCUGGAGAGGUAGGCGGAAUUCCCGGUGUAGCGGGGAAAUGCGUAGAUAUCGGGAAGAACACCAGUGGCGAAGGCGGCUUACUGGCCAGCAACUGACGCUGAGGCGCGAAAGCCAGGGGAGCGAACGGGAUUAGAUACCCCGGUAGUCCUGGCCGUAAACGAUGAAUGCUAGGUGUGGGUGUCGAGAGGCAUCCGUGCCGGAGUUAACGCGAUAAGCAUUCCGCCUGGGGAGUACGAUCGCAAGAUUGAAACUCAAAUGAAUUGACGGGG
rnacentral:rRNA from 1 species